GCGCCCGUAGCUCAGUUGGAUAGAGCAGGAACCUUCUAAGUUCUUGGUCAGGGGUUCGAUUCCUCUCGGGCGCGCCA
rnacentral:tRNA from 4 species